CCAAUAGCGUAUAUUAGUGUUGUUGCGGUUAAAAAGCUCGUAGUUGAAUUUCGGGAUUGGGAUAUAUCGGUCGUGCCUUUAGGGGCACGAAUCAGUGUGUGGCCAAUUCUCACCUUCUGGUGAAUUGGGAUGCUCUCGGGUGUUUCAAUGAACUAGGACUUUUACUUUGAAAAAAUUAGAGUGUUUAAAGCGGGCAUUUU
rnacentral:rRNA from 1 species